rnacentral:sRNA from 1 species
AGUCAAGAGUCUUUGGCGCCGUUUUGGUGAGCAGAUUUCUUUUGCCUUCGAAAAAGGUGAAGAAAAAUG